UUCAACUUAUCAUUUCAACUCUUUAUAACUGGACAUUUGUUUAGCUGGACAUUCUCUCUCACUGGACAGGUGUUUUGGUCCUCGCAAAACCUUUGUAAUCUGUCAUCAGUCACCCCCUGAUAACUGGACAUUGUUUAAGUGGACAUUCUCUAAUACAUAAGUGUAGUAUUGUGUAUUUUAUUAAUCAUUUUUAUAGACACUUAGUGUUUCAUAUUUAAUCAGUAGUCCAAUCAUUGAUCUUACUUGACUUUCAUCUCGACAUUGAAUCUGCAUUUAUGUAAAUGAUGUAACAACCUACAUAUAUAAUGUUUAUAUAAAUUGAUAAAACAUUGUGAAAAAAAUAUUGUUCUCUUUAUUAAUUCACCUGGGGUAUACAAAAGGUUUGAAAUAUAGUUUGUCUGCAUUGUGAUUGAACUAUUGUGUUUUAAGGCAGGAAGAAUGGCUAAUGACAUUAGUAACCGACUGGGAGAUUUCAGAAGAAGCCGAAAAGCAAUUUGUGCCUCUCUUGAAGGAUUUCAUAUUGGCGUAUGAAUGCUAGAACUAUUUUAAACAAGAAUGAUAACUUCAUUUCAGUUUUAUUCCAGUUGUAAUAAACAUUACACAAACAA